ACGACAUCCACAUUUACAUCAGAGGGAAAACUCAACCCCUCUAUAACUGUGAUAGGAUCCAAUGUAACCGUGCCAUCAGAGGUGGUGAUACUGAACUCCAUUGUUCUACCAGACAAAGCUCUCAGUGGCAGCUACAAAAAUCAGAUCAUCUUGUGAUUUCUCAAAGAGCCUUCCCUGAUGUACACAAAGUAUUUCAUAAAUGGACCCGUUUCUAACUGGACUUCCAGCCAAAGUGGAAUUGUAUCCAGCAUGGAGAAUUUUGCAUAAUCAUAUUUAUUAAAACUUAUGAAGAUUGUUAAUUUGAGAUGAUGAUCUUAUAAAUAAAAGGUGUCUUGUGA